UCCGGUUUAACACCGGCAGUCUCCAUAGAGUGCCCAACUGAAUGAUGGCAACUAGGGAUAGGGGUUGCGCUCGUUAAGGGACUUAACCCGACAUCUCACGAUACGAGCUGACGACAGCCAUGCAGCACCUGUCCCCCGGCCUCCGAAGAGGAAACCCAGUUUCCUGGGCUGUCCGGGAAUGUCAAGUCUAGGUAAGGUUCUUCGCGUAGCAUCGAAUUAAACCACAUGCUCCACCGCUUGUGCGGGCCCCCGUCAAUUCCUUUGAGUUUUAACCUUGCGGCCGUACUUCCCAGGCGGGGUACUUAAUGCGUUAGCGUCGACACUGCAGGGGUCAAUACCCGCAACAUCUAGUACCCAUCGUUUACGGCGUGGACUAC
rnacentral:misc_RNA from 1 species